rnacentral:rRNA from 1 species
GCCACGCCGCUCAGAAACUUAAGGAAUUGACGGGGCCGCACAAGCGGAGGAGCAUGUGGUUUAAUUCGAUGAUACGCGAGGAACCUUACCUGGGCUCGAACGUAAGAUGACUGUAGGUGAAAGCUUACAUCUCUUCGGAGCAUUUUACGAGGUGCUGCAUGGUUGUCGUCAGCUCGUGCCGUGAGGUGUCGGGUUAAGUCCCAUAACGAGCGCAACCCCUACCUUUAGUUGCCAUCAGGUAAUGCUGGGGACUCUAAAGGAACUGCCUACGCAAGUAGUGAGGAAGGCGGGGAUGACGUCAAAUCAGCACGGCCCUUACGUCCAGGGCUACACACGUGCUACAAUGGCCGAUACAGAGGGCAGCUACCUGGUGACAGGAUGCAAAUCUCCAAAGUCGGUCUCAGUUCGGAUCGGAGUCUGCAACCCGACUCCGUGAAGUUGGAUUCGCUAGUAAUCGCGCAUCAGCCAUGGCGCGGUGAAUACGUUCCCGGGCCUU